rnacentral:tRNA from 1 species
GCCGGAUUGGUGUAGUGGUUUGAGUGUUAGACUACAGCUCUGGAGACCAAGGUUCAAUUCCUGCUCAGCCA